CUUAUUUUUGAGAUAGCACGCUCCUGUGCUGACUGUUUUUUUUUAAAGCAGAAGUUGGUUUCAUAAUAAACACAUGCGUGACUAAACUCAUGAUCCACACUCCAAUCCAGGCGGUGGCGGUAAUGCUCCAAAAAGCUGGUUGUCAACCACCAUGGCACGAAGAUCACAAGAAUAAAAAGUUUGGUUUUUUUUAAAGACUUCACAUGGAUUCCGGUCAGAAAGAUGCAUAUGAGGAAGCUCGACUAAAACAUCCACAUGCAACUGUGAUUUCUGACUGGUAGACGGAUGAGGACGAUGAUUGCCUGUCAUACAUCUCAAGACAGAACAGGGACAGUAUAGACGCAUCUAUACCGUGAUGAAGAAAAAUUACUUGGAACAAAGAGGCUGG